AAUGAAUUGCCUGACAAAAGGAUUACCUUGAUAGGGUAAAUCAUGUAAUUAAUAUU
rnacentral:tRNA from 1 species